UGGGGAAUAUUGGGCAAUGGGCGAAAGCCUGACCCAGCAAUGCCGCGUGAAUGAAGAAGGUCUUAGGAUUGUAAAAUUCUGUCCUAUGGGAAGAAAGAAAUGACGGUACCAUAGGAGGAAGCCCCGGCUAACUACGUGCCAGCAGCCGCGGUAAUACGUAGGGGGCGAGCGUUGUCCGGAAUUACUGGGCGUAAAGAGAGCGUAGGCGGCACUACAAGUCUCAUGUGAAAUACCCGGGCUUAACUUGGGGGUUGCAUGGGAAACUGUAGAGCUUGAGUACAGGAGAGGCAAGCGGAAUUCCUAGUGUAGCGGUGAAAUGCAUAGAUAUUAGGAGGAACACCAGUGGCGAAGGCGGCUUGCUGGACUGAAACUGACGCUGAGGCUCGAAAGCGUGGGGAGCAAACAGG
rnacentral:rRNA from 1 species